ACUCGAAUGAACGAACGGAGGGAUUCAUCGUCAUUCGGCGGCGUACGGACGCGUUCCCCGAUGCUUGUUGAUCGUUCACGCGAUUCGGCUAGCACGGGACGCGUCCGUCGACGUCCGCCGACGGCGUGCACUUCCCUCUCAGUAAUGCAUCGCGACCCGUUCGGGGUCGGUCUAAGCUUCGUCCGGGAGUACGGUGGCGUCUGUCUCGCGAUUGACCGCCGCCGUACCGUGACGGUUGCCGACCGGCCGUUGCGGACGGUAUCAAUGAUGGAAACAGAAUACGCUCUCGAAGCGAAUCGCGCACGCGUUCUCAUGCGCGUCCGGCCCGACGCAAGCGUACGCUCGACGUCGUCGUCCUGCCCAAGUGCGGACGUCGGCUCGGCGUUGCUGUACAUAUGUCGCUGCCGUGCAGUCUCGGACUGUGCGCGUCUCCGUCUGCGAUGAUUCCGUUUCGGGCACUCGCAGGACCCGUCUUGAAACACGGACCAAGGAGUCUAGCAUGUGUGCGAGUCAUUGAGUUUGAAUUCAAUUUACACAAAACUGAAAGGCGUAACGAAAGUGAAGGCGUGCGCUCACCGCGCGCGCUCAGGGAGGAUGGAGCCUCGGUCUCGAUCGAACUCUCGCACUCCCGAGGCGUCUCGUUUCCAAUCAGUGAAUGCAGGCGCGCUCCGAGCACAGAUGCUGGGACCCGAAAGAUGGUGAACUAUGCCUGGUCAGGUCGAAGUCAGGGGAAACCCUGAUGGAGGACCGUAGCGAUUCUGACGUGCAAAUCGAUCGUCGGAACUGGGUAU
rnacentral:rRNA from 1 species